GUUGACCUCGGAUCAGGUAGGAAUACCCGCUGAACUUAAGCAUAUCAAUAAGCGGAGGAAAAGAAACCAACAGGGAUUGCCCUAGUAACGGCGAGUGAAGCGGCAACAGCUCAAAUUUGAAAUCUGGCCCUCUGGGUCCGA
rnacentral:rRNA from 1 species